AUGCCGCGUGCAGGAAGAUGCCCUAUGGGUAGUAAACUGCUUUUAUANNNGGAAGAAAAAAGAGUACGUGUACUCUACUGACGGUACCGUAAGAAUAAGGACCGGCUAACUCCGUGCCAGCAGCCGCGGUAAUACGGAGGGUCCGAGCGUUAUCCGGAAUUAUUGGGUUUAAAGGGUCCGUAGGCGGGCCGAUAAGUCAGGGGUGAAAGUUUGCAGCUCAACUGUAAAAUUGCCUUUGAUACUGUUGGUCUUGAGUUAUAGUGAAGUUGCCGGAAUAUGUAGUGUAGCGGUGAAAUGCAUAGAUAUUACAUAGAACACCGAUUGCGAAGGCAGGUGACUAACUAUAUACUGACGCUGAUGGACGAAAGCGUGGGGAGCGAACAGGAUUAGAUACCCUGGUAGUCCANNNNNGUCNNNNNNUANNNAGUCACCUGCCUUCGCAAUCGGUGUU
rnacentral:rRNA from 1 species